rnacentral:rRNA from 1 species
AACGAACGCUGGCGGCAUGCCUAACACAUGCAAGUCGAACGAGACCUUCGGGUCUAGUGGCGCACGGGUGCGUAACGCGUGGGAAUCUGCCCUUGGGUCCGGAAUAACUCAGAGAAAUUUGAGCUAAUACCGGAUGAUGACGUAAGUCCAAAGAUUUAUCGCCCAGGGAUGAGCCCGCGUAGGAUUAGCUAGUUGGUGAGGUAAAGGCUCACCAAGGCGACGAUCCUUAGCNGGUCUGAGAGGAUGAUCAGCCACACUGGGACUGAGACACGGCCCAGACUCCUACGGGAGGCAGCAGUGGGGAAUAUUGGACAAUGGGCGAAAGCCUGAUCCAGCAAUGCCGCGUGAGUGAUGAAGGCCUUAGGGUUGU